GUCCUUAUAGCUUAAAAUUAAAGCAUAGCACUGAAGAUGCUAAUAUAAACUUUUGUUUUAAGGACA
rnacentral:tRNA from 1 species